GGGAGGAGUAGAGGAAUGGUGUGAAGGUAGUCGUCCUCUCUGUUUCUCCUUGCGCUUUUGUUGCUGUUUGGAGGGAAUCUCACUACCACCGGAGAAUGAGGCGAUUCCCUCUGAAUCUGUGCAGGAAUUCUUAGGAUCUGAGGGCGGAGUGGGGAUCAGAAGAGAAAAGAUUCCAACUUGGCGAGGAUUCUCUGCUGAAUGAAGAGGUCUCUGCGGCGAUUUGGGCUUGCGGAUUGGAUUUGGAGCUGGGUGGUAUAGAAAUGGUGAGCAUUUGCUGAGAAACCCGUCACCUCUUGGGGGAAGAAAGGGGAUUUUGGGAGAUGGUAUUGCGUUGUUGGUGCUCUGGUCUUGUGGUUUUUCAGUUAAAAGGCUGUAGGUUGUAUCGCGCUGUGGACUGGGUUUCUAGAGUUUGAGAGUAUAGGGUGUCUGUUGUCGAAGCUUUGAAGUUUCCUCGGGGGAAAGGGUAAGUUUCUUUUAUUUAGCUUAGGGUUUCCUAGUGUUCAUUAAGGCGAGUUGGGGUUUGGGUUUUGAUCUUCAAGGAAAUUCCUAAAAGAAGCUUGCAGACAGGUGGGAUUUCUCGGAUUCUCUUAACUGAAUUGGGAUUUCUCUGGUUCUUUCUCUGGUAGCGGUGUUUCUCGUAGAAAGGAAUUUGCGAAAGAAGGAAUUGUUGAUGGUAGAAGAUUCGAUGGCUUUGCUUUGUUAAAAGCAUUCGCUGAAAAAAUUAGUCGGAGACUAAUCAGAACCAUGAUCACAUUCAGCAGCGAACCUGUCAAAGAAUCGAUGAAGGACGCUGAUAAGUGCUUGGACUCCCAGCUCUGGCACGCAUGCGCCGGAGGGAUGGUUCAGAUGCCGGCGGUGAACUCCAAGGUGUACUACUUCCCCCAGGGCCACGCAGAGCACGCCCAAGGCAUCGUGGACUUUGGGAGCUUUCCCCGUGUCCCGGCGCUCGUCCUUUGCCGGGUGACUGUUGUGAAAUUCAUGGCAGAUCCGGAGACGGACGAGGUGUUUGCCAAGAUCCACAUGGUUCCAGUUCGAUCCAAUGAGCCGGACUCUGGCGAUGAUGAUGGAAUGGGCCUCGGUAGCAACGCGGCUGAUGUACAGGAAAAGCCUGCUUCUUUUGCCAAGACGCUGACCCAGUCGGACGCCAACAACGGUGGGGGCUUCUCUGUUCCUCGCUACUGCGCCGAGACCAUCUUCCCGCGGUUGGACUACUCGGCGGACCCUCCAGUCCAGACUGUUCUUGCCAAGGAUGUGCAUGGCGAGGUUUGGAAGUUCAGGCAUAUAUACAGAGGGACCCCUCGCCGCCACUUGCUUACCACUGGGUGGAGCACUUUUGUGAACCAGAAGAAGCUUGUCGCUGGCGAUUCGAUCGUGUUCCUGAGAGCAGAGAAUGGGGAUCUCUGUGUGGGGAUCAGACGGGCCAAAAGAGGGGUCGGUGGAGGGCAUGAGUCUCCGUCCGGGUGGAAUCCCCCCACCGGAAACUGUGUCUCAGCCUAUGGGGGUUUUUCUGUCUUCCUAAGGGAAGAAGAGAAUAAGUUGAUGAGAAGCAAUGGAAAUGGUGGUAACUUGGAUUCUGGUGGUAAUAUGAGGGGAAGGGGUCGAGUGAGGGCCGAUUCCGUUAUUGAGGCGGCAACACUUGCCGCUAAUGGGCAGCCUCUCGAGGUAAUCUACUACCCAAGAGCUGGUACACCUGAGUUCUGUGUGAAAGCUGCAGCGGUGAAGGCAGCGAUGAGAAUCCGGUGGUGCCCGGGGAUGAGAUUUAAGAUGGCUUUCGAAACCGAGGACUCCUCGAGGAUCAGCUGGUUCAUGGGGACGAUAUCUUCUGUUCAGGUUGCAGAUCCGAUAGGAUGGCCUAAUUCACCUUGGAGGCUUCUUCAGGUGACAUGGGAUGAACCAGAUUUAUUGCAGAAUGUGAAACGUGUGAGCCCAUGGCUGGUAGAACUGGUUUCUAACAUGCCGGCUAUCCAUUUAGCACCCUUCUCACCACCGCGGAAGAAGAUUUGCAUCCCCCAACGCCCUGAUUUUCCCAUUGAAGGCCAGCUUCCAACUCCGUCUUUCCCCAGAAACCCCUUUGGGCCCAGCAGCAGCCCCUUGUGCUGCUUCCCGGACAGCACUCCUGCAGGCAUACAGGGAGCCAGGCAUGCUCAAUUUGGUUUAGCUCUAUCAGAUCUCCGCCUCAACAAACUGCAGUCAGAUCUGUUCCAUGCUGGGCUUCACCGGCUUGAUCAAGCCACUGCACACUCUAGAAUCUCUACAGGACUUAUCAUUGGCAAUCCUGCCAUUCAUGACAAUGUGUCUUGUUUGUUAACCACUGCCACUCCAUCUCAGAGAACAAAGAAAUUAUGCAAUGGAAAGUCACCUCAGUUGGUCCUCUUUGGGCAGCCGAUACUCACCGAACAGCAGAUAUCUUUGAGCAAUUCUGGGGACACAGUCUCCCCUGGAGUUACUGGAAACAGUUCACUGGAUGGUAAUCCUGAAAGGACCACAAACGUAUCAGAUGGUUCUGGCUCUGCAGUUCAUCAAAACGGGCUUGCAGAGAAUUCGUCAUGUGAGGGAUUUCCAUGGUACAGGGAUCGCCAAGCAUCUGAGCUUGGUCUGGAGACUGGACAUUGCAAGGUGUUCAUGGAAUCAGAGGAUGUAGGUCGCACGCUGGACCUUUCUGUCCUUGGCUCAUAUGAAGAGCUGUAUGGGAGGCUUGCUGACAUGUUUGGGAUUGAUAAAUCGGAGAUGAUGAGCCAUGUGCUCUACCGAGAUGCAGUGGGCGCAGUUAAACAAACUGGAGAUGAACCGUUCAGCCAUGAAGUUCAGAUAAGCACAUUCGCGAGAAAGGCAGUCUGCUUCCGAUGGCAUAUCUGAACUUGAAAAAUGACCUUAGCUAUUCCUAUGAUAAUCGGAAAUCCUGCAUUUCUGGUGGUUAUAUUGGUGUAGGUGGUACGAGUUCAUGAAAACGGCACGGAGGCUGACGAUAUUAGCAGAUUCAGGCAGCGACAAUUUAGGAAGGUAGGCAAACUCUCUCAUCAAAUGUACAGUUGAGCGAGCAAGUGUUGUUUAGCACCAUCUUCAUGGACCCUUUUGUUUAUGAAUGCUGAUUGAAGUUCCCGGAGACAGUUUUCUCUGUUAUUUCAAUGCCCGGAAUGGGCUCUGGCUCUAGACUUUGUUUUAUCAUCUUAAAUUAAUAGAAGGAUUUUUCUUCUCAUGUUUCUUCCUGGAAA